UGGAUUAUUCAGCCAGUUUCUGCUUGUGUUAUAGUUCAGUGACAUCUUUCUGAGUUAAAUGUGCUUUGUUUGUCUGGAUAAUCCUAUGUGUGCCUGUACUCGAACCGUCAACGGUGGACAUCGCAGUCAGGUAUACAUAGAAAUGGUUCCUGACUUUGUCUGCCCAUAUAACAAUAAACAAGAUUCUACAUUUUAAAAAUAGGACUAAGGACAAUCCUGCAUAUUUGCAGUUUUACACAUUGCAGUUCAUCUCAUCUGCUGCUGGAAUAAAUAAUGAAAGCUGUUUAUACUACUUUCCAAGAGCCCCCUAGAGUCUGAAAUCCUGGUGUUUUUAUUAAGGAUAUCAGUGUGUGAAGUAUUUGUUUUUGUGCCUUGAAAUUUGUGAAACUGUUCAGUUACUUGAUGACUAGCUUU